rnacentral:rRNA from 1 species
GAUGAACGCUGGCGGCGUGCUUAACACAUGCAAGUCGAACGGUGAAGCCCAGGUUGCUGGGUGGAUUAGAGGCGAACGGGUGAGUAACACGUGAGUAACCUGCCCUUAACACUUGGAUAAGCCCGGGGAACUGGGUCUAUUACCGGAGAGGAGCGUACACCGCAUGGUGGGUGUUGGAAAGAUUUUUCGGUGUUGGAUGGGCUCGCGGCCUAUCAGCUUGUUGGUGGGGUAAUGGCGCACCAAGGCGACGACGGGUAGCCGGCCUGAGAGGGUGUCCGGCGACAUUGUGGGUGAGAGACAGCGCCGAGUCCUCCGCGGGGGAGCAGUGUGGGGGAUUGUGCAAUAUGGGCGAGACCCAUGUGGCGCCGCCGCGUGUGGGGGGACGGCGCCCUCGGGGUGUAAACCUUUUUCCAGUGGGAAGAAGCGAAAGUGACGGUACCUGCAGAAGAAGCACCGGCUAACUACGUG